UACAGAGGUCUCAAGCGUUUGUUCGGAUUCAUUGGGCGUAAAGGGUGCGUAGGCGGCGUGGUAAGUCGGGUGUGAAAUCUCGGAGCUUAACUCCGAAACUGCAUUCGAUACUGCCGUGCUUGAGGACUGGAGAGGAGACUGGAAUUUACGGUGUAGCGGUGAAAUGCGUAGAUAUCGUAAGGAAGACCAGUGGCGAAGGCGGGUCUCUGGACAGUUCCUGACGCUGAGGCACGAAGGCCAGGGGGAGCAAACGGG
rnacentral:rRNA from 1 species